rnacentral:rRNA from 1 species
GGGUUGUGAGGUUAAGCGACUAAGCGUACACGGUGGAUGCCCUGGCAGUCAGAGGCGAUGAAGGACGUGCUAAUCUGCGAUAAGCGCCGGUAAGGUGAUAUGAACCGUUAUAACCGGCGAUUUCCGAAUGGGGAAACCCAGUGUGACUCGUCACACUAUCAUUAACUGAAUCCAUAGGUUAAUGAGGCGAACCGGGGGAACUGAAACAUCUAAGUACCCCGAGGAAAAGAAAUCAACCGAGAUUCCCCCAGUAGCGGCGAGCGAACGGGGAGGAGCCCAGAGCCUGAAUCAGCAUGUGUGUUAGUGGAAGCGUCUGGAAAGGCGCGCGAUACAGGGUGACAGCCCCGUACACAAAAGCGCAUGUGCUGUGAGCUCGAUGAGUAGGGCGGGACACGUGGUAUCCUGUCUGAAUAUGGGGGGACCAUCCUCCAAGGCUAAAUACUCCUGACUGACCGAUAGUGAACCAGUACCGUGAGGGAAAGGCGAAAAGAACCCCGGCGAGGGGAGUGAAAAAGAACCUGAAACCGUGUACGUACAAGCAGUGGGAGCCCCACCACUAAGCCAGUGGUGAACUCCACAUACGCAUCCUUUGCUGAGGAUACGGUUAACGGAGCGAAAGCGACGUUCAACCUCAAAAGAAGCAGAGGGGGCUUAGUGGUGGGGUGACUGCGUACCUUUUGUAUAAUGGGUCAGCGACUUAUAUUCUGUAGCAAGGUUAACCGAAUAGGGGAGCCGGAGGGAAACCGAGUCUUAACCGGGCGUUAAGUUGCAGGGUAUAGACCCGAAACCCGGUGAUCUAGCCAUGGGCAGGUUGAAGGUUGGGUAACACUAACUGGAGGACCGAACCGACUAAUGUUGAAAAAUUAGCGGAUGACCUGUGGCUGGGGGUGAAAGGCCAAUCAAACCGGGAGAUAGCUGGUUCUCCCCGAAAGCUAUUUAGGUAGCGCCUCGUGAAUUCAUCUCCGGGGGUAGAGCACUGUUUCGGCUAGGGGGCCAUCCCGGCUUACCAACCCGAUGCAAACUGCGAAUACCGGAGAAUGUUAUCACGGGAGACACACGGCGGGUGCUAACGUCCGUCGUGAAGAGGGAAACAACCCAGACCGCCAGCUAAGGUCCCAAAGUCAUGGUUAAGUGGGAAACGAUGUGGGAAGGCCCAGACAGCCAGGAUGUUGGCUUAGAAGCAGCCAUCAUUUAAAGAAAGCGUAAUAGCUCACUGGUCGAGUCGGCCUGCGCGGAAGAUGUAACGGGGCUAAACCAUGCACCGAAGCUGCGGCAGCGACGCUGAUGCGUUGUUGGGUAGGGGAGCGUUCUGUAAGCCUGCGAAGGUGGCCUGUGAGGGUUGCUGGAGGUAUCAGAAGUGCGAAUGCUGACAUAAGUAACGAUAAAGCGGGUGAAAAGCCCGCUCGCCGGAAGACCAAGGGUUCCUGUCCAACGUUAAUCGGGGCAGGGUGAGUCGACCCCUAAGGCGAGGCCGAAAGGCGUAGUCGAUGGGAAACGGGUUAAUAUUCCCGUACUUGGUGUUACUGCGAAGGGGGGACGGAGAAGGCUAUGUUGGCCGGGCGACGGUUGUCCCGGUUUAAGCGUGUAGGUGUGUGUUCCAGGUAAAUCCGGUUCACUUUAACACUGAGGCGUGAUGACGAGGCACUACGGUGCUGAAGCAACAAAUGCCCUGCUUCCAGGAAAAGCCUCUAAGCAUCAGGUAACAUCAAAUCGUACCCCAAACCGACACAGGUGGUCAGGUAGAGAAUACCAAGGCGCUUGAGAGAACUCGGGUGAAGGAACUAGGCAAAAUGGUGCCGUAACUUCGGGAGAAGGCACGCUGACAUGUAGGUGAAGUGAUUUACUCAUGGAGCUGAAGUCAGUCGAAGAUACCAGCUGGCUGCAACUGUUUAUUAAAAACACAGCACUGUGCAAACACGAAAGUGGACGUAUACGGUGUGACGCCUGCCCGGUGCCGGAAGGUUAAUUGAUGGGGUCAGCGCAAGCGAAGCUCCUGAUCGAAGCCCCGGUAAACGGCGGCCGUAACUAUAACGGUCCUAAGGUAGCGAAAUUCCUUGUCGGGUAAGUUCCGACCUGCACGAAUGGCGUAAUGAUGGCCAGGCUGUCUCCACCCGAGACUCAGUGAAAUUGAACUCGCUGUGAAGAUGCAGUGUACCCGCGGCAAGACGGAAAGACCCCGUGAACCUUUACUAUAGCUUGACACUGAACAUUGAGCCUUGAUGUGUAGGAUAGGUGGGAGGCUUUGAAGUGUGGACGCCAGUCUGCAUGGAGCCGGCCUUGAAAUACCACCCUUUAAUGUUUGAUGUUCUAACGUGGACCCGUGAUCCGGGUUGCGGACAGUGUCUGGUGGGUAGUUUGACUGGGGCGGUCUCCUCCUAAAGAGUAACGGAGGAGCACGAAGGUUGGCUAAUCCUGGUCGGACAUCAGGAGGUUAGUGCAAUGGCAUAAGCCAGCUUGACUGCGAGCGUGACGGCGCGAGCAGGUGCGAAAGCAGGUCAUAGUGAUCCGGUGGUUCUGAAUGGAAGGGCCAUCGCUCAACGGAUAAAAGGUACUCCGGGGAUAACAGGCUGAUACCGCCCAAGAGUUCAUAUCGACGGCGGUGUUUGGCACCUCGAUGUCGGCUCAUCACAUCCUGGGGCUGAAGUAGGUCCCAAGGGUAUGGCUGUUCGCCAUUUAAAGUGGUACGCGAGCUGGGUUUAGAACGUCGUGAGACAGUUCGGUCCCUAUCUGCCGUGGGCGCUGGAGAACUGAGGGGGGCUGCUCCUAGUACGAGAGGACCGGAGUGGACGCAUCACUGGUGUUCGGGUUGUCAUGCCAAUGGCACUGCCCGGUAGCUAAAUGCGGAAGAGAUAAGUGCUGAAAGCAUCUAAGCACGAAACUUGCCCCGAGAUGAGUUCUCCCUGAGACUUAGAGUCUCCUGAAGGAACGUUGAAGACGACGACGUUGAUAGGCCGGGUGUGUAAGCGCAGCGAUGCGUUGAGCUAACCGGUACUAAUGAACCGUGAGGCUUAACCUUACA